AGUAAAAAGAGCAGCCUAAACUUAGCCAGAACUGCCUUCAGUUCUACAGGGUUGAAAAUUAGACCUCAGGGGGCGACUUGGCUCAGCCCCAGGAGUCAAAAAUAAAAUAAAAGCUUAGCGUUUCAGUCCAGACCUUCAGGGUCUCUUCUCCUUUGACAGACAACUGAGCAGUUUUGCAGGAGAUGCCAAGCCAGAUUUUUUUUUGCCAUCCAAAGAAAGAUGUAAAUUCAUAAAAUUACUGUUUUCUUGGAUCAGACCCAGACAGUUGCCUUAUUAGGACUUUAAAUUUGGAUCUAUUCUUUUAAUACAUACACAACGAUAGAUGGAUAAACAAAACAUAAAUACUUAAUCAUAGACAGGCUGAGGGUAGGGGGAAGCUGGCGCUUACCAUUUUGUAAUCACUACAAUAAUGUCUGAGGGAAAUAUCCACAUAACUACAAGGAAGUAUAUACAGCAAAACCCCGUGGCUGCUUUUACAGCCAAUGGGAGCACCGAGGUCUGUGAGUGGGCUCUCACCUUGUGCCCUUCUGUGCCUGUGUCUGCAUGUCUGGUUUCUCUGGGCCUCUAGAUCCACGUUUUGGCUCAUGCUCUUUCCCAGGUCACUGGGAUCGACGACACGUGCCAGGGCCAGCCCCAGCAUUGCUCAUCAUUCCCACUCAUCAGUGUGGCCUUGACUGUGACAUUGCAGCUGCUCCACUGGGACGUGAUGUUACCAACCUGGAGAGUUAAAAGUAUUUUUCCUCGGGUUGUCUCAGGUGUAGUUACUCCUGGUAGGCUCCCGGCCCUGAGCCGAUGAGCAAGCAAUAUGAAGGUGAACCAGUUUCUCCCCUCCAGAGGCCUAUCACGAGGGGGAAACAAUCCAGAAGGGCCACCUUAGAGACAUCGCAGGACCCUAUGGGAUCACAUCGCAGUGGUAGCCAGCCAGCUCCAGGCAUAGAAGCUUCCAGAAAACAAUGAGAACAAAAUUCAUCCUUGUCUGGGCACAGAGAGAAAGCUAUCCAAGGAGUCGUCCAUGCUGAGAGGACAUGUCUUGCAUAGGUGGGCCAUGGGACCUUCAUGCCAUUGGACCUUCAUGGGAAUAGGGGUGGAGCUUAGAGUAGCAGAGAGAAGCGCAAAGGAUGAGAACAGGGUAGCAAACCAGGCUCUGCGGCUUCGCUGUGGAUUCGUAGACUGUGAUGGAGUUGCUGAUAUGCCUCUGCACACUCCACUCCGCGUUGUCCCUGAGAGCAAGAUGUGAUCGUUCUCAGGAUGGGGAUUGCCUUCCUCUGGAAAUACACAGCAGCUGGCUGAAAAGAUUCAUGCCCACCAUCCUCUCUCCCCUUCCCAACUUCUCUUCCUGCCUCUAAAAGCUAUUGGAGUUCAAGGGCUUUACCUGGGCUCAAUCUCCUUUGGAGAUUUGUGGGAGAGAGGGCUGGGUCAUCCUGACCUGUCUUUAGAGAAAUGAUGGCUAAAAAUACCUCUUGGGACUUAGGUUGGCCUAGACCUGGAGAUGAGAGUGUACCCUAAAAUAAAUAUUCAGGGAGUGGUGAAGGCUUCCCUGUUUAGCAUGUGGUUCUAGCCAAGUUCGUAACCUUUGCAUAGCCUUCCCCUGGGUUAGGUCACUAGCACUGACCAGGGAGGCAGCCAGGCCUCUGCUAGGGCACAAGUGCAUACCUGAGUCUCGCCCAGGAAAGAGGAGCUGGGGAGCUUGGGGGUGGGGGCUUUGUUUUGUUUUGUUUUUUAUCAUAAAGU
rnacentral:lncRNA from 1 species